UGGGAGACUUGAGUGCAGAAGAGGACAGUGGAACUCCAUGUGUAGCGGUGGAAUGCGUAGAUAUAUGGAAGAACACCAGUGGCGAAGGCGGCUGUCUAGUCUGUAACUGACGCUGAGGCUCGAAAGCAUGGGUAGCGAACAGGAUUAGAUACCCUGGUAGUCCAUGCCGUAAACGAUGAGUGCUAAGUGUUGGAGGGUUUCCCCCUUCAGUGCUGCAGCUAACGCAUUAAGCACUCCGCCUGGGGAGUACGACCGCAAGGUUGAAACUCAAAGGAAUUGACGGGGGCCCGCACAAGCGGUGGAGCAUGUGGUUUAAUUCGAAGCUACGCGAAGAACCUUACCAGGUCUUGACAUCUUCUGCCAAUCUUAGAGAUAAGACGUUCCCUUCGGGGACAGAAUGACAGGUGGUGCAUGGUUGUCGUCAGCUCGUGUCGUGAGAUGUUGGGUUAAGUCCCGCAACGAGCGCAACCCUUAUUAUCAGUUGCCAGCAUUCAGUUGGGCACUCUGGUGAGACUGCCGGUGACAAACCGGAGGAAGGUGGGGAUGACGUCAAAUCAUCAUGCCCCUUAUGACCUGGGCUACACACGUGCUACAAUGGACGGUACAACGAGUCGCGAAGUCGUGAGGCUAAGCUAAUCUCUUAAAGCCGUUCUCAGUUCGGAUUGUAGGCUGCAACUCGCCUACAUGAAGUUGGAAUCGCUAGUAAUCGCGGAUCAGCAUGCCGCGGUGAAUACGUUCCCGGGCCUUGUACACACCGCCCGUCACACCAUGAGAGUUUGUAACACCCAAAGCCGGUGAGAUAACCUUCGGGAGUCAGCCGUCUAAGGUGGGACAGAUGAUUAGGGUGAAGUCGUAACAAGGUAACCA
rnacentral:rRNA from 1 species